rnacentral:rRNA from 1 species
UUCCGGUUGAUCCUGCCGGAGGUCACUGCUUUUGGGGUUCGAUUAAGCCAUGCGAGUCGAGAGGGUUCGGCCCUCGGCGUACUGCUCAGUAACACGUGGAUAACCUGCCCUAGGGAAGGGGAUAAUCCCGGGAAACUGGGGAUAAUACCCUAUAGGUUACAGAUGCUGGAAUGCUCUGUAAUCAAAAGUUCCGGCGCCCUAGGAUGGAUCUGCGGCCGAUUAGGUUGUUGUUGGGGUAAUGGCCCAACAAGCCAGUAAUCGGUACGGGUUGUGGGAGCAAGAGCCCGGAGUUGGAUUCUGAGACACGAAUCCAGGCCCUACGGGGCGCAGCAGGCGCGAAAACUUUACAAUGCGGGCAACCGUGAUAAGGGAACCUCGAGUGCCUGUAAAUGCAGGCUGUUCAGAUGCCUAAAACACAUCUGGAGAAAGGGCCGGGCAAGACCGGUGCCAGCCGCCGCGGUAAUACCGGCGGCUCGAGUGGUGGCCACUUUUAUUGGGCUUAAAGCGUUCGUAGCUGGGUUGUUAAGUCUCUUGGGAAAUCUGGCGGCUUAACCGUCAGGCGUCUAAGGGAUACUGGCAAUCUUGGAACCGGGGAGAGGUGAGGGG